UUGACCUCGAAUCAGGUAGGACUACCCGCUGAACUUAAGCAUAUCAAA
rnacentral:rRNA from 1 species